GGGAUAACAGCCGGAAAUGGCUGCUAAUACCGCAUAAGCGCACAGCAUCGCAUGAUGCUGUGUGAAAAACUCCGGUGGUAUGGGAUGGACCCGCGUCUGAUUAGCCAGUUGGCGGGGUAACGGCCCACCAAAGCGACGAUCAGUAGCCGACCUGAGAGGGUGACCGGCCACAUUGGGACUGAGACACGGCCCAAACUCCUACGGGAGGCAGCAGUGGGGAAUAUUGCACAAUGGGGGAAACCCUGAUGCAGCGACGCCGCGUGAGCGAAGAAGUAUUUCGGUAUGUAAAGCUCUAUCAGCAGGGAAGAAGAAAUGACGGUACCUGACUAAGAAGCACCGGCUAAAUACGUGCCAGCAGCCGCGGUAAUACGUAUGGUGCAAGCGUUAUCCGGAUUUACUGGGUGUAAAGGGAGCGCAGGCGGUACGGCAAGUCUGAUGUGAAAGCCCGGGGCUCAACCCCGGUACUGCAUUGGAAACUGUCGGACUAGAGUGUCGGAGGGGUAAGUGGAAUUCCUAGUGUAGCGGUGAAAUGCGUAGAUAUUAGGAGGACACCAGUGGCGAAGGCGGCUUACUGGACGAUGACUGACGCUGAGGCUC
rnacentral:rRNA from 1 species